CUUAUGUCACAGAAUCAAGCCCCUGAAGCUGCCACAAGGUCUCCCAACAGAGGAAGACAUGUCCAGCACGUGCCUCAAGAGCACUGGAGAGCUGGUGGUGGGGUGGCUUCAGAACCCCAGGGACCAGGAAGUGAACAAGUCCUGAUGGCCUCAUGGCGUCAGAGUAUAAAGUGCAAGUCAUUUCUAUUUAAAGAUGCCAAAAUCCAACAGCCAACUGAACCAGCCUGCACGGCUUUGCUGUCCUACCUGCAUCAGCCUGAAUCCAAAUCCGUUUCCUGUAUCUCCCCAGGCAUCUCUGAGGACCCGCCCAGCAUGGCUCUCCCAGGAGAUGAUGGCCGCAAUGGUCAUUGAAUCCACACAAAACCAUUUCCCAGCUUCUUGGAUGCUGGCUUUUGUUGGCUAACAUCCUUCGAAGAUCCUUUGCUUCAGUCUUUUCGGAGGCAGUGACCCCUGAGGACAGAAGAGAGAGGGUGCUGUCUCCAAAAUGGAGAUUGCAUACUCAAGGGAGAGAGCGUGGUACACUGGGGUGAGGGAAAUAGGUACUGGAAAUUCUAUUUCCAUUUGUUUUUUCAUAGAAUCCUUCAAAUUUAUAUUUUUGUAAUAUUUCAUAAUGUAUGUAAAAUAUCAGAAUACAGGAAAUUUGUAAAAUGAACAGAUAUAUUCAGGUAUCCUUAAAAAAUUCUUCACUAGUAGUGAUGUGCGAUUAAGAAAGUUUUGAUAUGUAAUCUGCUUUCAAGAGCCCAUCUACAUGAGGGCACUGAAGGAAACAUAUUGUCACCAUUACUAGCAAUAAAAACAAUGAUAGCUACUG
rnacentral:lncRNA from 1 species